rnacentral:lncRNA from 1 species
AUCGGAACACACUGCAUUCAAAUUCAGAACUGCCAAAGGGGGUGGAGUUGCAAUCUACUACAGAGACAGCCUGCAGAGUUCUGUCAUGCUAUCCAGGUCUGUGCCCAAACAGUUCGAGCUUCUACUUUUGAAAAUCCACCUUUCCAGAAAUAAGUCUCUUACUGUUGCCGCUUGUUACAGACCCCCCUCAGCCCCCAGCUGCGCCCCGGACACCAUAUGUGAAUUAAUUGCCCCCCAUUUAUCUUCAGAGUUUGUACUGUUAGGUGACCUAAACUGGGAUAUGCUUAACACCCUGGCCGUCCUACAAUCUAAACUAGAUGCCCUCAAUCUCACCCAAAUUAUCAUGGAACCUACCAGGUACAACCCCAAAUCCGUAAACUCGGGCACCCUCAUAGAUAUCAUCCUGACCAACCUGUCCUCUAAAUACACCUCAGCUGUCUUCAACCAGGAUCUCAGCGAUCACUGCCUCAUUGCCUGCGUCCGUAAUGGGUCCGCGGUCAAACGACCACCCCUCAUCGCUGUCAAACGCUCCCUAAAACAUUUCAGCGAACAGGCCUUUCUAAUCAACCUGGCCCGGGUAUCCUGGAAGGAUAUUGACCUCAUCCCGUCAGUAGAGGAUGCCUGGUUAUUCUUUAAAAGUGCUUUCCUCACCAUCUUAAAUAUCAAAUCAAAUUUUCUUUGUCACAUACACAUGGUUAGCAGAUGUUAAUGCGAGUGUAGCAAAAUGCUUGUGCUUCUAGUUCCGACCAUGCAGUAAUAUCUAACAAGUAAUCUAACC